GACGAACGCUGGCGGCGUGCUUAACACAUGCAAGUCGAACGGAAAGGCCCUGCUUUUGUGGGGUGCUCGAGUGGCGAACGGGUGAGUAACACGUGAGUAACCUGCCCUUGACUUUGGGAUAACUUCAGGAAACUGGGGCUAAUACCGGAUAGGAGCUCCUGCUGCAUGGUGGGGGUUGGAAAGUUUCGGCGGUUGGGGAUGGACUCGCGGCUUAUCAGCUUGUUGGUGGGGUAGUGGCCUACCAAGGCUUUGACGGGUAGCCGGCCUGAGAGGGUGACCGGCCACAUUGGGACUGAGAUACGGCCCAGACUCCUACGGGAGGCAGCAGUGGGGAAUAUUGCACAAUGGGCGGAAGCCUGAUGCAGCAACGCCGCGUGCGGGGUGACGGCCUUCGGGUUGUAAACCGCUUUCGCCUGUGACGAAGCGUGAGUGACGGUAAUGGGUAAAGAAGCACCGGCUAACUACGUG
rnacentral:rRNA from 1 species